AUCAUGCCCCUUAUGACCUGGGCUACACACGUGCUACAAUGGGAAGUACAACGAGUUGCGAAGUCGCGAGGCUAAGCUAAUCUCUUAAAGCUUCUCUCAGUUCGGAUUGCAGGCUGCAACUCGCCUGCAUGAAGCCGGAAUCGCUAGUAAUCGCGGAUCAGCACGCCGCGGUGAAUACG
rnacentral:rRNA from 1 species